UGCCCCAUGGCUGAGUUGGUUACAGCGUCCGACUGUUAUUUAACUGAUCGAAAGACAUAAUCGGAAGGUCGAGAGUUCGAGCCUCUCUGGGGCAG